UGCAGAUGAUGUGAAAGAAUAUUUGCUAUCUGAGUGAUAGUGCUGACGCAUUACCACCAAGAUCACUGAUGCA
rnacentral:snoRNA from 1 species